rnacentral:misc_RNA from 1 species
CGGUCGCCAUGACGCCCGGACUGUUCUACGCCGUCGUCUCCGGGAUGCUGGCCGCGAUGGCGUCCGCGAGCGGCAAGAUGGCCGCCGCGUCGUCAGACGCGCGAUGGCUGUGCGGGGCCGUCGUCACGCCCGCCGCGCUCGACUGCGACAGCAUUCUUCUGUAUGUGCGUGGAUCGUGCUUCUUGCUGGUGUUUCUCUUGAAUGCAGUCAUGUGGACAGUCUUUACUAAGGCUUUAAGACUGUCACCGACAACGCUCUCAGCCACGAUCACAAACUUGGCGUCGAACCUAUUUUUCACGGCGCUGACGGGUCGGCUUCUAUUCGGCGAGACGCUGGGAGCGACGUGGUUCGUCGGCGCCGGCCUCAUCGUCACCGGCGUCGCUCUCAUCCACAACGCCGCCGCGGACGCCGAGCGAGAAGCGCAGAGGAAGACCAGCUAAGAUACAGGGGGAAGGCGCGUCGUCAGAGAGGAACCCCUCUUAAGAUACAGGGGGUGCCAACAGGGACAAGAAGAAAGCCGCGGACGCCGAGCGGGAAGUACAGAGGAAGACCAGCUAAGAUACAGGGGGAAGGCGCGUCGUCAGAGAGGAACCCGUCUUAAGAUACAGGGGGCGCCAACAGGGACAAGAUCAUUGGAGAUCGUCCGUCUCAACAUUAGUCUUGACAUUGACUGUUUUUCUCGUAGACCGGAACCUUUUUUACCUUGCUUGUGAGAAACCCUUUCGAAUUUGUUGGGGAAACAUUACGAUGUUUUUGUCAACGGUCUACGUUGGUCUGGCAUGGGUAAGUGCCCCCCCCCUUGCCCCACCCUGUGUUUAAGGUACAGCACUGAAGAUGCACGCUGGAACGUUGUGUUACGUCCAAGGUUGGUUGCACUCCACACUAUGGAACGUUGUGCCAUGCUGUGGAAUGAUGUGCCAUCCCAUGGAAUGAUGUGCCAUCCCGUGGAAUGAUGUGCCAUCCCGUGGAAUGAUGUGCCAUGAUGCCGUGGAAUGAUGUACCAUCCCGUGGAAUGAUGUGCCAUCCCGUGGAAUGAUGUGCCAUGAUGCCGUGGAAUGAUGUGCCAUCCCGUGGAAUGAUGUGCCAUGAUGCCGUGGAAUGAUGUGCCACCUCGUGGAAUGAUGUGCCAUCCCGUGGAAUGGAGGGGGUGAUGCCAAAAUGACUGUCUAUAAAAUUUUCAUAUUAACCACAUGAAACUGUGUAGAUAUAAAUAUAUAUACAUUACGGCGGCGCGUAUAUAUGAUAUUUUAAUUUUGCUAGUUGUUGAUGUAACUACUAUGCCAUUACAUUCAGUGAUAUACGGGAAUUUGGAUUUACGAGUAACAUUAGUACAAAAAAACAUUACUAAGGAUUCUGUAUGGUCUGGUACGGGAGGAGGUCCAUGGGGGUGACACGAUAAGUUACCGCACAGUGUGACACCAACCCUAGUGACGCCACUGAUACCAGAGCCAAUGUAAUUGUAUUUCCUGUUUGCACUUUGACAUAAAUAAAUGUAUUUUGGUCGGAAACAGAAUUAAAGCACUACAUGUAUUUGUAGUUGAAUUACAUGCAAUAAAGUAUUAUAAUAUAUAAUAAUAAUAAUAAUAAUAAUAAA